GGAAUCAGGCGGUGAGUUCAGGGGCUGCAGAGCGGGUGGCAGGCUGUCCGCACCGGGUGGCUGUGGGAAAGCUGCCACUGCCCCACUGGGGAUGUUCUUGCUUUCCCAGCAGUGACAACGAGCGCAGACAUCCCGGAGGACAUCGCGGACAUCCAUGAUCUCCUGGCAUGGCUCAACGACGAAGUGACAUCCAAGACAGGCAUCCUGUACGACACCGCAGACAUUGAUGACCUGCUCACGUGGAUCAACAACGAAGAGGCACCCAGCACCGACAGACUUGACAACGACGUGGAAAUUGACAAUUUGCUCACCUGGAUUGACGAAGCGGCGAGUGCUCUGGAGGUCCCCAGCACAACCAGGACCUGCCCGGUGUCACAAGAGAGGGGACCAAAGACACUGCGAACAGCUGCCAAAUGGAAGAGCUGAUGCAGUGCAUCACUGCCACGGAGCCACUGAGCCCAGAUGUCUCCAGCAGCCUCGACUCCUCUUCUUCCAGCACAGAGCAC